ensembl:snoRNA LOC120095410 small nucleolar RNA SNORA8
AGGACUUAGAAACUCAACUUCACUUAGCAGUUCUUUCCUGAUGGGUGUUCAAAAGACAGUGCGAUAGAAAUUCACUAUCUGGCAUCAUUGGUUUCUUGGCUUUGCGCAUGUUAAACCUGGUAUUUCUAAUGAUUGUUUU